rnacentral:sRNA from 1 species
GGGGGGGGAAGAGUAUAUUAUUUUUCAUCGGAUUGGAAAUCACCAAAUGAAUACUGUCUGCAAUACAUGUUGUCUGUAUAAAUAGACAUGUAUUUCAAGAAAGUAAAGUCUGACACUUGAUUCUUUUAUUAUUAAAUCAGUUAUAUCCUUAUGUAAGAACAUGUAAUUUUGCUACACAUCAUUUGUUUUGUUAUGUCUUUUGACCAAGACUUGAUUUUUUUUUUAUUGUUUUGACAUGAAAUAACAGGUACUUUACUUUUGUUUGUAUCUUCACUUUGUUAUGAAAUUCACUAGUAGCACUACAUGUGAAUAUUUGUGAAACUUUUGUAUUAUUUGCAGUAAAAACUUGCACUCGAAAAUAAAGAAUGAGUUUAAUUAC